AUUGAACGCUGGCGGCAGGCCUACCACAUGCAAGUCGAGCGGAUGAAGGGAGCUUGCUCCUGGAUUCAGCGGCGGACGGGUGAGCAAUGCCUAGGAAUCUGCCUGGUAGUGGGGGAUAACGUCCGGAAACGGGCGCUAAUACCGCAUACGUCCUGAGGGAGAAAGUGGGGGAUCUUCGGACCUCACGCUAUCAGAUGAGCCUAGGUCGGAUUAGCUAGUUGGUGGGGUAAAGGCCUACCAAGGCGACGAUCCGUAACUGGUCUGAGAGGAUGAUCAGUCACACUGGAACUGAGACACGGUCCAGACUCCUACGGGAGGCAGCAGUGGGGAAUACUGGACAAUGGGCGAAAGCCUGAUCCAGCCAUGCCGCGUGUGUGAAGAAGGUCUUCGGAUUGUAAAGCACUUUAAGUUGGGAGGAAGGGCAGUAAGUUAAUACCUUGCUGUUUUGACGUUACCAACAGAAUAAGCACCGGCUAACUUCGUGCCAGCAGCCGCGGUAAUACGAAGGGUGCAAGCGUUAAUCGGAAUUACUGGGCGUAAAGCGCGCGUAGGUGGUUCAGCAAGUUGGAUGUGAAAUCCCCGGGCUCAACCUGGGAACUGCAUCCAAAACUACUGAGCUAGAGUACGGUAGAGGGUGGUGGAAUUUCCUGUGUAGCGGCGAAAUGCGUAGAUAUAGGAAGGAACACCAGUGGCGAAGGCGACCACCUGGACUGAUACUGACACUGAGGUGCGAAAGCGUGGGGAGCAAACAGGAUUAGAUACCCUGGUAGUCCACGCCGUAAACGACGUCGACUAGCCGUUGGGAUCCUUGAGAUCUUAGUGGCGCAGCUAACGCGAUAGGUCGACCGCCCUGGGGAGUACGGCCCCAAGGUUA
rnacentral:rRNA from 1 species